AAAAUCUGAUACUUGUUUUAAUUUACGUUAACUUUUCGUUAACAAUUGUGAGACACGAAACAGCUUGACCAUGAGAUCUCCCUCAUGGAGUCAAAACCCGUGUUGGUAUCUGUUUUUAGAUCAACUUAUAUAUAUAUAUAUAUAUAUAUAUAUAUAUCUUGUGGAUAAAAGGAAAGUUUACAAGUGAGAAUAGUGGCAUUUUUCUGACAGAUUUCACACCGUUGCUUGUUUUGCAGUUGACUGUGAUUGAAGGUCGAUUAAUCAUCACUGGGCACUCGAUGGGAGGAUCCGUUGCUUCUCUCUUCACCUUAUGCCUGCUAGAAGUCAUUAAUAUAUCAAAACCCAAAUGCCGCCCCAUUUGCAUCACCUUUGGUUCACCCCUCAUAGGCGACUUUGGCCUCCAACACUCCAAUUGGAAUUCUUUCUUCUUGCAUGUAGUGUCCAACCAAGAUCUAGUCCCCGGACUCUUCCUCCCAUCCGGCAGAUCUCCUCCCACAUCCUCCCAUUCACAAACUACUGGUUACAAGCCCUUUGGGACAUAUCUCUUGUGCUCUGAACUUGGUUGUGCUUGUUUUGACAACCCUGAUUUAAUUUUGGAAUUGCUGAAAGUCAUAUCAUCAGAGGUUGCCGGAGGAUUGCGGGAUGUUGAUUACAGGAAGAUUUUAAUAAACCUCAAGGAGAGGGCAAUCUUCAAGGGACUUCAGCAGGUGGGUGAAAGGUUUGCAGAUCCCUUGUCAGCUGGGAUCGUCAUGGACCUUGAGAUAAUUGGAUUUGAUCAAACAAAGGUAAACAGCUUUCUCCCAAUUAAUGAUGUAGUAUGGUUUACACUCAACUUCACCAAAACCUGCAACAACUGCCCUAUUUAGAUUUGCCUUCCUGUUCUUUGGGUUCUUCUAUAACUUCUCAUUUUUUAAAUUCAUGGCAGCUGUUGCGGCACAACAUUGAUAUCAACACUGUGAUAAGGAUACUGGGAGUGGAAGCCAGAAUCCUAGCCCACAAAAAUAAAGCUUCUGAUGCCAAGAAACUGAAUGACAUAAAAAUACACAUGGCCCAGCUAGAAUGGUAUAAGAAGAAAUCAAAAGAUCUGAACAAGGGUUACUACGACUGCUUCAAAAACCAGGGGUCAAAAAGGGACAUUAAAAUUGAACAGUAUAGGGGACACCUCACAAUAUACUGGAAAGACAUGGUUGCACAAGUACAGAGGAAGCCCCAGAAGGAAGGAGCAUCAUUUCGAACCAGUUGGCUCUAUCCAGGGACAACUUAUAGAAGAAUGGUUGAACCACUGGACAUUGCUGCCUUCUACAGAGAGGGUAGAACAGACUACAUAAACAAUGGAAGAUCUCCUCAUUACAAGCUGUUGCAGCAAUGGUAUGAGGAAGAUGUGAAGCCCCCAUCCAGAGAUAAGCUCGAUUCCAAGAAACUAAAGGUGUCUGGUAUCCUAACUGAGGAUUCUUUGUUUUGGGCACAUGUGGAGGAGGCUCUCUUGUCAUGCGAAUCGCUCAAGAGUGCAAACUCUACUCUUGAGCAGAGAAAAUCAUCAUGGGAUAAUCUGGUUAAGUUUGGGGAGUAUGUAAUGGAACAGAUUGGAAACUAUGCAGUGUCCCCUGAGAUUUUCUUGGGGGAAAGCAGCUUCAUGAAAUGGUGGGGAGUGUAUGAGGACUACAUAGAUGCUUCCAAUAAUUCCUAUGGGUCACCAUUGAUCAGCUUUAUGAAGAACCGUAGUUAUAGACUGUAUGGUUAGAGGGCAAUCCAGUUUGUGUAUUGUGUUUAUUGUAUUGUGAGCAUUCAAUAGAUAAAACUAGAAAGAGCGUGACCUUUUUAUGACAACUUUAGAAACCAGGGGUUAAAAGAGACAUUACAAACUGAAGUUUUUGAGAGGAAACCUCAAGAGUAUACUGGGAAGCCAUGGUGGAACAAGUAGAGAGGAAGCCUCAGAAGGAAGGAGCAAUGGUUGAACCACUUGACAUUGUUGCCUACUACAGGGAGGGUGUAAGAAACAACAUAACCGAGGGAAGAUCUGAACGUUAAACGUUGUCCAAUUAUUAUAAAUGUCUUAUACAUUACGUGUGAAAAUACCAAAAAAAAUUAUAUUCAACAUUUAUGUUUGUAUACAAGCAAUAUUUUGGAUAGUUUGAUAUAAAAAACAAAUGAAGAAAAUGAAGAAAAACAUACAAAUAUAUUUACAAUGGACAAACUUAUACAAUUAGUAUAAAUGUCUUGUAUAUUUAGUACAAAUGUCUCGUACUUUGUAAAAAUAUAAAAAUAUAGUAUUUGACUUUUAUAUAUGUGUGAAAAUGUAAAAAGAAAAAGAAAAAUAGUUAGAGCAUUUGGUACCGUGAGUGAUGACUUCACCUAAAGAAAGGUUAAUGAAUAUUAUGGUCUCGAUGGAAGAGCGACUCCGGUAAAAUAUAUGGAUUAAAUUGAUGCUUUUCUUUUGACGAUGAAGUAGUUGAGUUAUGAAUACGAGGUUUUGCUAACAGCAUUGAAGGCAAGGAUUCCCUAAUAUACUCCAAUUCAUAUUCAAUUUGUAGACCUUCAACUAACUACUCUUGCUAACGAGCAUAUCCAAGUCAAUACAUAAGAUUAAUUAAGAUUAAGUAUUACGUAUGAUAAUUGAAACCCUAUUUAAAUAAAUAAUGACACAUAUAUAAAAAAUAUAUAUAUUUUUAAAAAAAUAAAUAACAAUUUAGAGAAUUUCAUAACUUAGCAUCAAACCUAUUGUAAGAAAGAGUAUUAUACAAUGUAGGGUUUAGGAUCCAAGUCAACCUAAGAUCAAAUUUAAGUUUUAAGAUCAAUUCACAUUCAAAACUAAGGUUUUAAGUUUCAAAAAUAUAUUUCUUAAACCAAUUAAAUGGAAAAAAGAAAAUUACAAAGAAAAUUUCUCCCUCAUCAGUUUCUUUUAUCUUGAAAACUAAAGGAAAUAUAUAUCAAUAUUUGAGAUGGAAAUUCAUAAUCUUAGGUGGUGUUUGUUUUUUUGGCUUUUUGCUGAAAACUAUUUAGUUUUAGAAUUUAGGUUUUUUUUUUUUUUUACUUUUUCAUGACUUAUAAUAAACUUUUUACUAAAUAGAAAAAACCAAAAUAUGUGGUUUUUUCUAAAUAGAAAAAAUAACACAAUGGUUUUUUUUACUUUUUAAUACUUAAUAGAAAUAAAAUACUACAAAAACAAACAUCUUAAUAUUUAAUACUAUUAAGUAUUAAGGUUCUAUUUAGAAUUAAGUAAAAAAACAAACACCACCUUAGAAACACAAAGAACAAAGAGAGUAUGAAGAGACCAUACCAUGAGAGAUUUUCCGAAAGGUUGGUAAACCAUGGUAAUCACCUUUGAGUCUUGCUGAGAAAAACAAACCUUAUUUAUUUUUAUUUUUUUAUCAUUUUUUCUCUUGUGUGGUGUACAUUUAAGAAAAACAAAUCUCAAAAAAAAAAAAAAACACAAACCAAAUAAUGCCAGAAUUUGGGUUGAGAAACACCCAAAAGAUAGUGGCCCAAUACAUGUGCCUAAGAAAAUCUUCAUGAGCCGAUAAACAUAGUCACAAAACUAGUAACAGCCUUGUAGCCAUAGUUGGUGUAGUAUGAGCAAGUGGGGUAUGAAGUAGGUAGGUGAGUAUUGCAAUGAAAUUUCCAGCACUGCUUCCUGAAUUAAGAAAUCACAUACCCAAGUCUUAGUCGUCGUCGUCGUCGUACCGUGUGAGAACCGGGAAGAAUCUUUGCUCGUAGACUGGCUUUUGUAGUCUUUCUUUAACAAUUACAAGUUAUCUGAAUUCCCUUCAUCCUCCUAUAUAAUAUUGUUUUGGUCUUGUUCUUGUUGCAUUGUGGCUAGGCAUCUCCAUGGAAGGAAGGAGGAUGAAUCAAGUUCCUUUGUAUGAAUCAAUUUCUCUGCUCUUUUUUUUUUUCAAUCCUUGAAUCGAAUCAUUGCUUAGUUCUUGCUUUAAUUUCUCCAUUUUCUGUUGGGUCUUUGAUUGCAGGUUUAGCUCUGCAAGAGAACUGGGAAAUUUAAUUGUGACCUCCAAUCUAAUCGACUCUGCUUUGACUAAAAUUCUUGAGCUUCAAAGAGACCAAACAGCCUUGCUUUCCCCCGUUCAAUACAGAGUUUUUUUAUCCAUCUCCCAACUGCACAAUUGUAGCUUUUGUCUCUUCACCUGACUGCACUCAAAACCCUCUUCCUGGACAAGGAGAUUUAGUUCCCUCUCCUCUCUUUGACUUCCUCUGCACCGAAGAAUACAAGUCCGUCUCCAUUAACAGAGCUGCAUUAACCCUCUUUACCUCUCUCCACGAUCAUCUCUCUGGACUAAAAACUCAGGUCAAAAUAUGAUAGUUGUUUUUAUUUUCGUUUCCUUUUUGUUAACAAUUGUGAGACAUGAAACAGCUUGACCAUGAGAUCUCUCUCAUAGAGUCAAACUACCUGAAGAAGAAGAAGACGUUACACAUAUCCAUCUGCGUUGCAUCAUCGCAUUACCCAUUGAUCGGUUGUGAUUCAACUCUUAAUAGGAAGACAGUAGAACUGGUGUUGGUAUCUGUUUUUAGAUCAGCUUAUAUGUAUCUUGUUGCUAAAAAGGGAAUGUUUAGAAGUGAGAUUAAUGGGAUUAUUCUGACAUGGAUUUCAUAUGGUUACCUGUUUUGCAGUUGACUGUGAUUGAAGGUCAAUUAAUCAUCACUGGGCACUCCCUGGGAGGAGCCGUUGCUUCUCUCUUCACCUUAUGCCUGCUAGAUGAAAAUUUAUUAAAACCCAAAUGCCGCCCCUUUUGUAUCACCUUUGGUUCACCCCUCGUCGGCGGCUUUGGCCUCCAACACUCCAUAUGGAAUUCUUUCUUCCUGCAUGUAGUGUCUAACCAAGACCCAGUCCCCGGUCUCUUCCUCCCAUCUGGCAGAGGCAGAUCUACGCCCACAUCCUCCCAUUCACAAACUACCGGUUACAAGCCCUUUGGGACAUAUCUCUUGUGCUCUGAACUUGGUUGUGCUUGUUUUGACAACCCUGAUUUAAUUUUGGAAUUGCUGAAAGUCAUAUCAUCAGAGGUUGCCGGAGGAUUGCAGGAUGUUGAUUAUGGGGAGAUUUUAAGAAACCUCAAGGAGAGGGCAAUCUGCAAGGGACUUCCGCAGGUGGGUGAAAGGUUUGCAAAUCCAUUUUCAGCUGGGAUCAUCAUGGAACUUGAGACAAUUGGAUUUAAUCAAACAAAGGUAAACAGCUUUCUCCCAUCUAAUGAUGUUAUGGAACAUGGUUUACACCUCAUUAAAUACUGCAACAACUGCCCUAUUUAGAUUUACCUUCUUGUUCUUUGGGAUUUUCCAUAACUAGACUCAUUUUUUAAUUUCAUGGCAGCUGCUGCAGCAUAACAUUGAUAUCGAGACUGUGAUAAGCGCAAUGGAAGCGGAAGCAAGAAACCUAACCCAGAAAAAUAAAGCUUCCGAUGCCAAGAAACUGAAUGAAAUAAAAAUAGACAUGACCCGGCUAGAAUUGUAUAAGAAGAAUUCGAACAUGGGUUACUACGAUUGCUUCAAAAACCAGGGGUCUAAAAGGGACAUCCACGUUGAACAGUUUAGGGUAAACCUCACAGGGUACUGGGAAGGCAUGGUUGCACAAAUACAGAGGAAGCCUCAUAAGGAAGGAGCAACAUUUCGAACCCGUUGGCUCUAUGCAGGGACGGUUUAUAGAAGAAUGGUUGAACCACUGGACAUUGCUGCCUUCUACAGAGAGGGUAGAAAAGACUACAUGAAUAAAAGAUCUGCACAUUACAAGCUGUUGCAGGAAUGGUAUGAGGAAGAUGUGAAACCCCCCUCUAGAGAUAAGCUUGAUUCCAAGAAGCAAAAGGUGUCCAGUAUCCUAACUGAGGAUUCUUGCUUUUGGGCACAUGUGGAGGAGGCUAUCUUGUCAUGCGAAUUGCUCAAGAGUGAAAACUGUAAUCUUGAGGAGGGAAAAUCAUCAUGGGAUAAUCUGGUUAAGUUCGAGGAGUAUGUAAUGGAACAGAUUGACAACUAUGCAGUGUCCCCUGAGAUUUUCUUGGAGAAAAGCAGCUUCAUGAAAUGGAGGGGACUGUAUGAGGGCUACAUAGAUACUCGCAGUAAUUCCCAUAGCUCGCCAUUGAUCAGCUUUAUGAAGAAUCGUAGUUAUAGACAAUAUGGAUAGAGGGGUAAUCCAGUUUGUGUGUUGUGUGUAUUGUUUUGUGAGCAUUCAAUGGAUAGAACUAGAAAGAGUGUGACCUUUUCCUUUUUUUUUUCAGUUGCUGCCCAUAUUCUCAGCACUAUUUUCUUCCUUCUUUUCCUCAGUUUUUUUGUUAAGAAAUGAAUAUUAUGAUGUUGCCGGGAUGCACUUUCAUUUUUGUUCCAUUACAUUGUGUUUUAUUCAUAUCCUAAACAAAUAAAUGUAAACAAGAAAAUCAAAUGAGACUUCAAAGAGUCUGUUCCUUUUAAAGCAAGGGAAAAAAAGGACAUGUUUGUUUACUUCCACAGCUGGGUAGAUUCAACUCCACCAAAAUUGGCAACAACUUCCCAUUGAAAAAUUCCUUUUAAGCUUGAAUGACAUAAAACUAGAUAUGUUCCAGCUAGAAUGGUACAAGAAAGAAAUCAAAAGAUGAGCACAAUGGGUUAUUAUGACAGCUUUAGAAACCUGGGGUGUAAAAGAGACAUUAAAAUGGAACCGAGGGGAAGACAUUGUAGAACAAGUAAAGAGGAAGCCUCACCAGGAAGGGCAGCUUUGCAAACCCUCUGGCUCUGUACAGGAACGAAUUAUAGAAAGAUGGUUGAACCACUUGACAUUGCUGCCUACCACAGAGAGGGUGGAAGAAACUACAUAACCAAUGGAGGAUGUAAACAUUACACGCUAUUAGAGCAAUGAUGCAAUGAAGAGAAGGGGACUUUGUCUUCCAAUAAUUUAAGAAAAUAAAACCAAAUAAUGCCAGAAUUUGGGUUGAGAAACACCCAAAAGAUAGUGGCCCAAUAUGAAGUAGUCACAAAACUAGUAACAGCCUUGUGGCCAUAGUUGGUGUAGUAUGAGCAAGUGGGGUAUGAAGUAGGUAGGUGAGUAUUGCAAUGAAAUUUCCAGCACUGCUUCCUGAAUUAAGAAAUCACAUACUCAAGUCUUAAUCGUUGUCAUCAUACCGUGUGAGAACCGAGGAAGAAUCUUUGCUCUUAGACUGGAUUUUGUAGUCUUUCUUUAACAAUUACAAGUUAUCUGAAUUCCCUUCAUCCUCCUAUAUAAUAUUGUUUUUGGUCUUGUUCUUGUUGCAUUGUGGCUAGGCAUCUCCAUGGGAGGAAGGAGGAUGAAUCAAGUUCCUUUGUAUGAAUCAAUUUCUCUGCUCUUUUUUUUUUCAAUCCUUGAAUCGAAUCAUUGCUUAGUUCUUGCUUUAAUUUCUCCAUUUUCUGUUGGGUCUUUGAUUGCAGGUUUAGCUCUGCAAGAAAACUGGGAAAUUUAAUUGUGACCUCCAAUCUAAUCGACUCUGCUUUGACUAAAAUUCUUGAGCUUCAAAGAGACCAAACAGCCUUGCCUUCCCCCGUUCAAUACAGAGUUUUUUAUCCAUCUCCCAACUGCACAAUUGUAGCUUUUGUCUCUUCACCUGACUGCACUCAAAACCCUCUUCCUGGACAAGGAGAUUUAGUUCCCUCUCCUCUCUUUGACUUCCUCUGCACCGAAGAAUACAAGUCCGUCUCCAUUAACAGAGCUGCAUUAACCCUCUUUACCUCUCUCCACGAUCAUCUCUCUGGACUAAAAACUCAGGUCAAAAUAUGAUAGUUGUUUUUAUUUUCGUUUCCUUUUUGUUAACAAUUGGGAGACAUGAAACAGCUUGACCAUGAGAUCUCUCUCAUAGAGUCAAACUACCUGAAGAAGAAGAAGACGUUACACAUAUCCAUCUGCGCUGCAUCAUCGCAUUACCCAUUGAUCGGUUGUGAUUCAACUCUUAAUAGGAAGACAGUAGAACUGGUGUUGGUAUCUGUUUUUAGAUCAGCUUAUAUGUAUCUUGUUGCUAAAAAGGGAAUGUUUAGAAGUGAGAUUAAUGGGAUUAUUCUGACAUGGAUUUCAUAUGGUUACCUGUUUUGCAGUUGACUGUGAUUGAAGGUCGAUUAAUCAUUACUGGGUACUCGAUGGGAGGAUCCGUUGCUUCUCUCUUCACCUUAUGCCUGUUAGAAGUCAUCAAUUUAUCAAAACCCAAAUGCCGCCCCAUUUGUAUCACCUUUGGUUCACCCCUCAUAGGCGACUUUGGCCUCCAACACUCCAAUUGGAAUUCUUUCUUCUUGCAUGUAGUGUCCAACCAAGAUCUAGUCCCCGGACUCUUCCUCCCAUCCGACAGAUCUCCUCCCACAUCCUCCCAUUCACAAACUACUGGUUACAAGCCCUUUGGGACAUAUCUCUUGUGCUCUGAACUUGGUUGUGCUUGUUUUGACAACUCUGAUUUAAUUUUGGAAUUGCUGAAAGUCAUAUCAUCAGAGGUUGCCAGAGGAUUGCGGGAUGUUGAUUACAGGAAGAUUUUAAGAAACCUCAAGGAGAGGGCAAUCUGCAAGGGACUUCCGCAGGUGGGUGAAAGGUUUGCAAAUCCAUUUUCAGCUGGGAUCAUCAUGGAACUUGAGACGAUUGGAUUUAAUGAAACAAAGGUAAACAGCUUUCUCCCAUCUACUGAUGUUAUGGAACAUGGUUUACACAUCAUUAAAUACUGCAACAACUGCCCUAUUUAGAUUUAGGGCAAUGAUGAAAAUAUCAGUAAUCACGGAUAUAUCAGUAUUUCGAUUUUACGGAUAUAUCGGAUAUAUCGGAGAUAUAUCGGUAGAUAUUUUGAAAAAAAAUAUCGGCAAGCUUAAAAUUGUUAAAAACUCAUGAAAAUAUAAGAAAAUCUCAUAAUAAUAUAAUUAAAAGUAUAAUAGACAUUUUAAAGUUAUUUUAUUGAAAAUUUUGAUAUAUGUAUAACAUGAUUUAUCAUAUUUGAUAAUAAUAUCGUAUGCGUCGAUAAAAAUAUGAAUUUUAUAAGUGUACAUUUAUUAUUAAAUUACACCUAAUAUUAUGAUAUCUGAUUAUAAUAUGUCUAAUUUUAAAAUAUAUAUUAGUAUUAAAAUAUGAUCCAUUUAAUUCAAUUGUAUUAAACAAUAUAAAAUAAAUAAUGAUAUAUAUAUAUAUAUAUAUAAUUUUUUAAUAUUUAAUUAAUUAUUAAUGAUAUUAAAAACAUUAUGAAGAAAAUUAUAUAAUUUUUUAAUUUUUGGUAAUUAAUUAAAAGACUUUGCAUUUAAUUAUAAAUUAAUUAUAAUUAAUUUACUCUUUAAAAUAUUCUUAUAUUUUCUUUAUAUAAUGAAUUUAAGUAUAUAUAUAGUUGUUGCAUAUUAUAUAUUAAAGGACAACUUAGCCCAAGUGGUAAGCGAGUGAACCCCAAUGUGAGGCAUUGUAGCACGUGCACUGUAGCAUCACUGUAGCGACUCUGACUUUCGUUGACCCGCAUUGACUACACGAUAUAUCGGAGAAAAAUCACUGAUUUAUCGCCAAAUCACCAAUAAAUCGCCGAUUUCUCGCGAUAAAUACCAAAAUAUAGUGUCGAAACCCUUCGAUACACGAUUUUUCGGCGCAUUUUCUUACUUGGAUUUACCUUUUUGUUCUUUGGGAUCUUCCAUGACUCAUUUUUUAAUGCCAUUUUAUUUUCCUUUUUGUUUCUAAAUUUUUAAAAAAUCGUUUUCACUUCUUUUUUUUAAGAAAAUUUUGGCAAAUUUUGAAAAUAUAAUAUUAGUGUUUUCACUUCUUUCUUUUUUUUUUUUUUCUUUUUUUUUUUAAACUCAAUUUUCUAAAAAAUGAAAAUAGAAAAACAUUGUCUAAACAUGUUUGUAAACUUAAUUUUAUUUUUUUAUAAAUGAAAAAAAAAAUCUAAAUGAGUAAGGCUUUAUUAAUUUUAAUUUUUUUCUUUUCCUUAUAUUUUCUUAUUUUAUUCCAAAUUUUCUUGCAACCAAACAUAAUCUAAAUGUUUACAACUUUUAUUGUAAGGAAUGAAUGACACUACUUUGUGAACUUUUAUGAUAAUAUUUUGAAUCAUAAAUUGUGUUUUUUUUAGUAAUAUCAAUUUUAUUACCAAUGACUUAAUUGUUAAUAACAAAAUAUAAUAUUUAUAAAUAUUUUUAUUCUCAACAGGCUACAAUUUUUACUCUUGUGAUAAAAAAAAUUUUGUCAUAAAUUACACAUUAUGAUGAGUUUUUCUAUUUUCCUUAUCAGCCAAUUCAACAAAUAUCAUAUAUAUUGUAAUGGCUAACAAAUUUUCACAUAAAUUUUUUAUAAGAUAAAGUAGAAUGGAAUUAUUCAAUUUCAAAAAAAAAAAAAAUGGUACCUAAUGAAAAAGAUAAAAUAUAUAGAUCAUCUCGAAGAAAUCAGGAAAGAUAAAUGAUGAGACCAUAUAUAGGACCCUUGAUGGAGACUAUUUUAAUUGAAGUGGUGUGCUCCUUCCGACUCAGAACAUGUUCAGCAUUGCACACAAACUAACAUCGUCGAUCUUGAGUAUGAAAAAGGUGAUUAGAUUCCAAGGUUGUCGUUUGUCCCAACUCCUCAUAUUAGAGGUGAUGCUCAAGCUAACGUGCCUCGCAGUUGAGCCCCGGCCAAUCGGUCUAAUAUGCUUUUCCAAUGGUGAGUUUCACUGCCACCAUGUAUUACAUUAAUUCCGAUAGCGCACAAGUUGUGUUUGUGCUAUUGCUUUUUGCCCUCACAAACAUAUACACAAGAGACAUUCAGACCAGAUCUGUUCUACCAUCCUCUAGGAAAGCAUUGUAGGUCAUUUGAAAUUGGGAUUUCAGCACCAGAGUCAAAUUGCCUUCCUUCCUGAAAGAUGAGCAUUUUUUAUACUCUUACAUCGGCUUUUAUGGAAAUGAAAUCAGCUUCUCAUUCUGUUACAUUUUUCAAUUUUGCUGCCUAUAACUGCUCACUGCCUGUUUGUGAGACAUUAUCCAGAUUUUCCCUGAUCAAUUAUAGAGAGGUCAUUGGACUCAUCCAUGAUUGGAAUUUCCUGUUAUCAUUAUUUGCAAAUCAUCAACCAUUUGUCAUGAUAUCUUAAGUUAAGCUGAGCACGAAUUUCAGCUAAGAUCCUCAGAACUAGAAAUAUGCACUGCAGGUAUUACUUGAUAUGUGAAUAUCCAAUACAAUAUUUUUUUACUAAGAGGAAUACGAAUUUGAAACACUUUCCAAUAAUUUAUCAAGUCAUAUUUUCGUGCUGUCGUGAUACAUGUGUCUACUGUAUGCAUGGCUUUUCUUUUCUACACAUGCCUUUAUCUUUGCACAUGACUCUUUUGAUACACGCCAGCAUCAAGGCAAUUGCCUAAAUCUAAAUCACAUCCUUUGUGUCACGUCUUCCUUGUUACCACGGUCCUCUUGUACACCAUGGUCCCUUAAUGUAACUUGUGCCACAAGCCCUUUGUGCAUGAAUUCAAAUUGUUCAAUCAUUUCGCCAUUUACACCUUUUAAGGUCCAAUAAGCGUAUACAAGAGACUACACUCAUUCUAGAUGAUAAAGUACAUUCAACUAACUACUCUUGCUAAUGAGCAUAUCCAAGUCAAUACAUAAGAUUAAUUAUUACAUAUGGUAAUUGAAACCCUGUUUAAAUAAAUAGUGACACAAAUAUAAAAAAUAUAUAUAUUUAAAAAUAAAUAAAUAACAAUUUAGAGAAUUUCAUAACUUAGUAUCAAACCUAUUGUAGGAAAGAGUAUUAUACAAUGUAGGGUUUAGGAUCAAAGUUAACCUAAGAUCAAUUUUAAGUUUUAAGACCAAUUCAAAUUCAAAACUAAGGUUUUAAGUUUCAAAAAUAUAUCUCUUAAACCAAUUAAAUAGAAAAAAGAAAAUUACAAAGAAAAUUUCUUCCUCAUCGGUUUCUUUUAUCUUGAAAACUAAAGGAAAUAUAUAUCAAUAUUUGAGAUGGAAAUUCAUAAUCUUAGAAACACAAAGAACAAAGAGAGUAUGAAGAGACCAUACCAUGAGAGAUUUUCCAAAAGGUUGGUAAACCAUGGUAAUCACCUUUGAGUUUUGCUGAGAAAAACAAACCUUAAUUUUUAUUUUUAUUUUUUUAUCAUUUUUUCUCUUGUGGUGUACAUUUAAGAAAAACAAAUCUUAAAAAAAAAAAAAAAAAAACCAAAUAAUGCCAGAAUUUGGGUUGAGAAACACCCAAAAGAUAGUGGCCCAAUACAUGUGCCUAAGAAAAUCUUCAUGAGCCGAUAAACAUAGUCACAAAACUAGUAACAGCCUUGUAGCCAUAGUUGGUGUAGUAUGAGCAAGUGGGGUAUGAAGUAGGUAGGUGAGUAUUGCAAUGAAAUUUCCAGCACUGCUUCCUGAAUUAAGAAAUCACAUACCCAAGUCUUAGUCGUCGUCGUCGUACCGUGUGAGAACCGGGAAGAAUCUUUGCUCGUAGAGUGGCUUUUGUAGUCUUUCUUUAACAAUUACAAGUUAUCUGAAUUCCCUUCAUCCUCCUAUAUAAUAUUGUUUUUGGUCUUGUUCUUGUUGCAUUGUGGCUAGGCAUCUCCAUGGAAGGAAGGAGGAUGAAUCAAGUUCCUUUGUAUGAAUCAAUUUCUCUGCUCUUUUUCUUUUCAAUCCGUGAAUCGAAUCAUUGCUUAGUUCUUGCUUUAAUUUCUCCAUUUUCUGUUGGGUCUUUGACUGCAGGUUUAGCUCUGCAAGAGAACUGGGAAAUUUAAUGGUGACCUCCAAUCUAAUCGACUCUGCUUUGACUAAAAUUCUUGAGCUUCAAAGAGACCAAACAGCCUUGCUUUCCUCCGUUCAAUACAGAGUUUUUUAUCCAUCUCCCAAGUGCACAAUUGUAGCUUUUGUCUCUUCACCUGACUGCACUCAAAACCCUCUUCCUGGACAAGGAGAUUUAGUUCCGUCUCCUCUCUUUGACUUCCUCUGCACCGAAGAAUACAAGUCCGUCUCCAUUAACAGAGCUGCAUUAACCCUCUUUACCUCUUUCCACGAUCAUCUCUCUGGACUAAAAACUCAGGUCAAAAUAUGAUAGUUGUUUUUAUUUUCGUUUCCUUUUUGUUAACAAUUGUGAGACAUGAAACAGCUUGACCAUGAGAUCUCUCUCAUAGAGUCAAACUACCUGAAGAAGAAGAAGACGUUACACAUAUCCAUCUGCGUUGCAUCAUCGCAUUACCCAUUGAUCGGUUGUGAUUCAACUCUUAAUAGGAAGACAGUAGAACUGGUGUUGGUAUCUGUUUUUAGAUCAGCUUAUAUGUAUCUUGUUUCUAAAAAAGGUAAGUUUAGAAGUGAGAUUAAUGGGAUUAUUCUGACAUGGAUUCCAUAUGGUUACCUGUUUUGCAGUUGACUCAGAUUGAAGGUCAAUUAAUCAUCACUGGGCACUCCCUGGGAGGAUCCGUUGCUUCUCUCUUCACCUUAUGCCUGCUAGAUGGAAAUUUAUUAAAACCCAACUGCCGCCCCUUUUGUAUCACCUUUGGUUCACCCCUCAUCGGCGGCUUUGGCCUCCAACACUCCAUAUGGAAUUCUUUCUUCCUGCAUGUAGUGUCUAACCAAGACCCAGUCCCCGGUCUCUUCCUCCCAUCUGGCAGAGGCAGAUCUACGCCCACAUCCUCCCAUUCACAAACUACCGGUUACAAGCCCUUUGGGACAUAUCUCUUGUGCUCUGAACUUGGUUGUGCUUGUUUGGAAAAGCCUGAUUUAAUUUUGGGAUUGCUGAAAGUCAGAUCAUCCGAGGUUGCCGGAGGAUUGCAGGAUGUUGAUUAUGGGGAGAUUUUAAGAAACCUCAAGGAGAGGGCAAUCUGCAAGGGACUUCAGCAGGUGGGUGAAAGGUUUGCAGAUCCUUUUACAGCUGGGAUCAUCAUGGACCUUGAGAUAAUUGGAUUUGAUCAAACAAAGGUAAACAGCUAGCUUUCUCCCAUCUAAUGAUGUUAUGAAACAUGGUUUACACUUCACCAAAUACUGCAACAACUGCCCUAUUUAGAUUUGCCGUCUUGUUCUUUGGGAUCUUCCAUAACUAGACUCAUUUUUUAAUUUCAUGGCAGCUGCUGCAGCAUAACAUUGAUAUCGAGACUGUGAUAAGCACAAUGGAAGAGGAAGCCAGAAACCCAACCAAAAAAAAUAAAGCUUUCGAUGCCAAGAUUCUGAAUCACAAAAAAAAAGACAUGGCCGGGCUAGAAUGGUAUAAGAAGAAAUCAAAAGAUCUGAACAAGGGUUACUACGACUGCUUCAAAAACCAGGGGUCAAAAAGGGACAUUAAAAUUGAACAGUAUGGGGGACACCUCACAUUAUACUGGAAAGACAUGGUUGCACAAGUACAGAGGAAGCCCCAGAAGGAAGGAGCAACAUUUCGAACCCGUUGGCUCUAUGCAGGGACGGUUUAUAGAAGAAUGGUUGAACCACUGGACAUUGCUGCCUUCUACGUAGAGGGUGGAACAGACUACAUGAAGAAUGAAAGAUCUCUUCAUUACAAGCUGUUGCAGCAAUGGUAUGAGGAAGAUGUGAAACCCCCCUCUAAGGAUAAGCUUGAUUCCAAGAAGCAAAAGGUGUCUGGUAUCCUAACUGAGGAUUCUUGCUUUUGGGCACAUGUGGAGGAGGCUAUCUUGUCAUGCGAAUUGCUUAAGAGUGAAAACUGUACUCUUGAGCAGGAAAAAUCAUCAUGGGAUAAUCUGGUUAAGUUCGAGGAGUAUGUAAUGGAACAGAUUAACAACUAUGCAGUGUCCCCUGAGAUUUUCUUGGGGGAAAGCAGCUUCAUGAAAUGGUGGGGACUGUAUGAGGGCUACAUAUAUGCUCGCAGUAAUUCCCAUAGGUCACCAUUGAUCAGCUUUAUGAAGAACGGUAGUUAUACAGAGUAUCGUUAGAGGGGUAAUCCAGUUUGUGUGUUGUGUGUAUUGUUUUGUGAGCAUUCAAUGGAUAGAACUAGAAAGAGUGUGACCUUUUUCCUUUUUUUCUUCUAGUUGCUGCCCAUAUUCUCAGCACUAUUUUCUUCCUUCUUUUCCUCAGUUUUUUCUUAAGAAAUGAAUAUUAUGAUGUUGCUGGGAUGCACUUUCAUUUUUGUUCCAUUACAUUGUGUUUUAUUCAUAUCCUAAACAAAUAAAUGUAAACAAGAAAAUCAAAUAAGACUUCAAAGAGUCUGUUCCUUUUAAAGCAAGGGAAAAAAAGGACAUGUUUGUUUACUUCCACAGCUGGGUAGAUUCAACUCCACCAAAAUUGGCAACAACUUCCCAUUGAAAAAUUCCUUCUAAGCUUGAAUGACAUAAAACUAGAUAUGUUCCAGCUAGAAUGGUACAAAAAAGAAAUCAAAAGAUGAGCACAAUGGGUUAUUAUGACAGCUUUAGAAACCAUCUUACAACACAUCCAUCAGAAUUUAGACUAUUCAUAGAAACAUUCUUAACAUGUAAAUCUACUAUUGCCAUGCACGUCAACAUAGAAUUUCUAAAAUGAUUGAAUAAAAUAAAUAAAACAAAAGAAACCCUUCCAAGAGAAUUUCAUAAUCUAAUGUCAAAUCUAUUACGAAGAUGAACAUGUAAAAUUUAAGGUUUAUAAUCAAAGUCGACUUGAAUCUGAGUUUUAAAACCAAUUUGCAGUUUUUAAGUUUGGAGACUAGAUCUCUUAAACCAAUUAAAUGUAAAAAACUAAAAAGAAAACUUCUUCAAAUUUUGAAAUGAGAAUGAGAAUGCAAUUCCUAACUAGUUUCUUCAUCAAAAAUCCCGAAAAAAAAAAAAAAAGAAGAGAGAGAGAGACCAUAGACGCCAGUGUUUGGGUUUAGAACCACCCAAGAGAGAGUAGUCCAAUAUAUGGGCUUAAGAAAAUCCUCAUGGGCCUAAGCUAAGACUAGGAACAAUCUUGUAUCCGUGGUUGGUUUAGUAUGAGCAUGUGUACUGCGAAGGAAGUAGCUGAGAAUUGCAAUGGAAUUUCCAGUACUGCUUCCUGAACGAACAAAUCGCAUACCCAAGAUUUGGUCGUCAACGCCAUGCUGGGUGAGAACCGGGGAAGCAUCUUCGCUCGUUGACGAGCUUUUGUAGUCCUUCUUUAACAAUUAUAAGGCAUCUGAAUUCCCUUCAUCCUCCCACACCAUUGUUUUUGGUCUUGUUCUUGUUGCUUUGUGACUACGCAUCUCCAUGGAAGGAAGGAGGAUGAACCAAGUUCCUUUGUAUGCAUCAAUUUUACUGUUUUUUUUUUCCUUUUUAAUCUUUGGAUCGAAUCAUUGCUUAGUUCUUGCUUAAUUUCUCCAUUUUAUGUUGGGUCUUUGAUUGCAGGUUUAGCUCUGCGCGAGAACUGGGAAAUUUAAUUGUGACCUCCAAUCUAAUCGACUCUGCUUUGACUAAAAUUCUUGAGCUUCAAAGAGACCAAACAGCCUUGCCUUCCCCCGUUCAAUACAGAGUUUUUUAUCCAUCUCCCAAGUGCACAAUUGUAGCUUUUGUCUCUUCACCUGACUGCACUCAAAACCCUCUUCCUGGACAAGGAGAUUUAGUUCCCUCUCCUCUCUUUGACUUCCUCUGCACCGAAGAAUACCCUUCCGUCUCCAUUAACGGAGCCGCAUUAACCCUCUUUACCUCUCUCUACGAUCAUCUCUCUGGACUAAUAGAUGAGGUCAAAAUCUGAUACUUGUUUUAAUUUACGUUAACUUUUCGUUAACAAUUGUGAGACACGUAUAUAUAUAUAUAUAUAUAUAUAUCUUGUGGAUAAAAGGAAAGUUUACAAGUGAGAAUAGUGGCAUUUUUCUGACAGAUUUCACACCGUUGCUUGUUUUGCACUUGACUGUGAUUGAAGGUCGAUUAAUCAUCACUGGGCACUCGAUGGGAGGAUCCGUUGCUUCUCUCUUCACCUUAUGCCUGCUAGAAGUCAUUAAUAUAUCAAAACCCAAAUGCCGCCCCAUUUGCAUCACAUUUGGUUCACCCCUCAUAGGCGACUUUGGCUUCCAACACUCCAAUUGGAAUUCUUUCUUCUUGCAUGUAGUGUCCAACCAAGAUCUAGUCCCCGGACUCUUCCUCCCAUCCGGCAGAUCUCCUCCCACAUCCUCCCAUUCACAAACUACUGGUUACAAGCCCUUUGGGACAUAUCUCUUGUGCUCUGAACUUGGUUGUGCUUGUUUUGACAACCCUGAUUUAAUUUUGGAAUUGCUGAAAGUCAUAUCAUCAGAGGUUGCCGGAGGAUUGCGGGAUGUUGAUUACAGGAAGAUUUUAAUAAACCUCAAGGAGAGGGCAAUCUUCAAGGGACUUCAGCAGGUGGGUGAAAGGUUUGCAGAUCCCUUGUCAGCUGGGAUCAUCAUGGACCUUGAGAUAAUUGGAUUUGAUCAAACAAAGGUAAACAGCUUUCUCCCAAUUAAUGAUGUAGCAUGGUUUACACUCAACUUCACCAAAACCUGCAACAACUGCCCUAUUUAGAUUUGCCUUCCGGUUCUUUGGGUUCUUCUAUAACUUCUCAUUUUUUAAAUCCAUGGCAGCUGUUGCGGCACAACAUUGAUAUCAACACUGUGAUAAGGAUACUGGGAGCGGAAGCCAGAAUCCUAGCCCACAAAAAUAAAGCUUCUGAUGCCAAGAAACUGAAUGACAUAAAAAUACACAUGGCCCAGCUAGAAUGGUAUAAGAAGAAAUCAAAAGAUCUGAACAAGGGUUACUACGACUGCUUCAAAAACCAGGGGUUAAAAAGGGACAUUAAAAUUGAACAGUAUAGGGGACACCUCACAAUAUACUGGAAAGACAUGGUUGCACAAGUACAGAGGAAGCCCCAGAAGGAAGGAGCAUCAUUUCGAACCAGUUGGCUCUAUCCAGGGACAACUUAUAGAAGAAUGGUUGAACCACUGGACAUUGCUGCCUUCUACAGAGAGGGUAGAACAGACUACAUAAACAAUGGAAGAUCUCCUCAUUACAAGCUGUUGCAGCAAUGGUAUGAGGAAGAUGUGAAGCCCCCAUCCAGAGAUAAGCUCGAUUCCAAGAAACUAAAGGUGUCUGGUAUCCUAACUGAGGAUUCUUUGUUUUGGGCACAUGUGGAGGAGGCUCUCUUGUCAUGCGAAUCGCUCAAGAGUGCAAACUCUACUCUUGAGCAGAGAAAAUCAUCAUGGGAUAAUCUGGUUAAGUUUGGGGAGUAUGUAAUGGAACAGAUUGGAAACUAUGCAGUGUCCCCUGAGAUUUUCUUGGGGGAAAGCAGCUUCAUGAAAUGGUGGGGAGUGUAUGAGGACUACAUAGAUGCUUCCAAUAAUUUCUAUGGGUCACCAUUGAUCAACUUUAUGAAGGACCGUAGUUAUAGACUGUAUGGUUAGAGGGCAAUCCAGUUUGUGUAUUGUGUUUAUUGUAUUGUGAGCAUUCAAUAGAUAAAACUAGAAAGAGCGUGACCUUUUUAUGACAACUUUAGAAACCAGGGGUUAAAAGAGACAUUACAAAUUGAAUUUUUUGAGAGGAAACCUCAAGAGUAUACUGGGAAGCCAUGGUGGAACAAGUAGAGAGGAAGCUUCGGAAGGAAGGAUCAAUGGUUGAACCACUUGACAUUGUUGCCUACUUCAGGGAGGGUGUAAGAAACAACAUAACCGAGGGAAGAUCUGAACAUUAAACAUUGUACAAUUAUUGUAAAUGUCUUAUACAUUACGUGUGAAAAUACCAAAAAAAAUUAUAUUCAACAUUUAUGUUUGUAUACAAGCAAUAUUUUGGAUAGUUUGAUAUAAAAAACAAAUGAAGAAAACGAAGAAAAACAUACAAAUAUAUUUACAAUGGACAAACUUAUACAAUUAGUGUAAAUGUCUUGUAUAUUUAGUACAAAAGUCUCGUACUUUGUAAAAAUAUAAAAAUAUAGUAUUUGACUUUUAUAUAUGUGUGAAAAUGUAAAAGGAAAAAGAAAAAUAGUUAGAGCAUUUGGUACCGUGAGUGAUGACUUCACCUAAAGAAAGGUUAAUGAAUAUUAUGGUCUCGAUGGAAGAGCGACUCCGGUAAAAUAUAUGGAUUAAAUUGAUGCUUUUCUUUUGACGAUGAAGUAGUUGAGUUAUGAAUACGAGGUUUUGCUAACAACAUUGAAGGCAAGGAUUCCCUAAUAUACUCCAAUUCAUAUUCAAUUUGUAGACCUUCAACUAACUACUCUUGCUAAUGAGCAUAUCCAAGUGAAUACAUAAGAUUAAUUAUUACAUAUGAUAAUUGAAACCCUGUUUAAAUAAAUAGUGACACAAAUAUAAAAAAUAUAUAUAUUUAAAAAUAAAUAAAUAAUAAUUUAGAGAAUUUCAUAACUUAGCAUCAAACCUAUUGUAGGAAAGAGUAUUAUACAAUGUAGGGUUUAGGAUCAAAGUUAACCUAAGAUCAAAUUUAAGUCUUAAGACCAAUUCACAUUCAAAACUAAGGUUUUAAAUUUCAAAAAUAUAUCUCUUAAACCAAUUAAAUGGAAAAAAGAAAAUUACAAAGAAAAUUUCUUCCUCAUCGGUUUCUUUUAUCUUGAAAACUAAAGGAAAUAUAUAUCAAUAUUUGAGAUGGAAAUUCAUAAUCUUAGAAACACAAAGAACAAAGAGAGUAUGAAGAGACCAUACCAUGAGAGAUUUUCCAAAAGGUUGGUAAACCAUGGUAAUCACCUUUGAGUUUUGCUGAGAAAAACAAACCUUAAUUUUUAUUUUUAUUUUUUUAUCAUUUUUUCUCUUGUGGUGUACAUUUAAGAAAAACAAAUCUUAAAAAAAAAAAAAAAAAAACCAAAUAAUGCCAGAAUUUGGGUUGAGAAACACCCAAAAGAUAGUGGCCCAAUACAUGUGCCUAAGAAAAUCUUCAUGAGCCGAUAAACAUAGUCACAAAACUAGGAACAGCCUUGUAGCCAUAGUUGGUGUAGUAUGAGCAAGUGGGGUAUGAAGUAGGUAGGUGAGUAUUGCAAUGAAAUUUCCAGCACUGCUUCCUGAAUUAAGAAAUCACAUACUCAAGUCUUAAUCGUUGUCAUCAUACCGUGUGAGAACCGAGGAAGAAUCUUUGCUCUUAGACUGGAUUUUGUAGUCUUUCUUUAACAAUUACAAGUUAUCUGAAUUCCCUUCAUCCUCCUAUAUAAUAUUGUUUUUGGUCUUGUUCUUGUUGCAUUGUGGCUAGGCAUCUCCAUGGGAGGAAGGAGGAUGAAUCAAGUUCCUUUGUAUGAAUCAAUUUCUCUGCUCUUUUUUUUUUCAAUCCUUGAAUCGAAUCAUUGCUUAGUUCUUGCUUUAAUUUCUCCAUUUUCUGUUGGGUCUUUGAUUGCAGGUUUAGCUCUGCAAGAAAACUGGGAAAUUUAAUUGUGACCUCCAAUCUAAUCGACUCUGCUUUGACUAAAAUUCUUGAGCUUCAAAGAGACCAAACAGCCUUGCCUUCCCCCGUUCAAUACAGAGUUUUUUAUCCAUCUCCCAAGUGCACAAUUGUAGCUUUUGUCUCUUCACCUGACUGCACUCAAAACCCUCUUCCUGGACAAGGAGAUUUAGUUCCCUCUCCUCUCUUUGACUUCCUCUGCACCGAAGAAUACAAGUCCGUCUCCAUUAACAGAGCUGCAUUAACCCUCUUUACCUCUCUCCACGAUCAUCUCUCUGGACUAAAAACUCAGGUCAAAAUAUGAUAGUUGUUUUUAUUUUCGUUUCCUUUUUGUUAACAAUUGUGAGACAUGAAACAGCUUGACCAUGAGAUCUCUCUCAUAGAGUCAAACUACCUGAAGAAGAAGAAGACGUUACACAUAUCCAUCUGCGCUGCAUCAUCGCAUUACCCAUUGAUCGGUUGUGAUUCAACUCUUAAUAGGAAGACAGUAGAACUGGUGUUGGUAUCUGUUUUUAGAUCAGCUUAUAUGUAUCUUGUUGCUAAAAAGGGAAAGUUUAGAAGUGAGAUUAAUGGGAUUAUUCUGACAUGGAUUUCAUAUGGUUACCUGUUUUGCAGUUGACUGUGAUUGAAGGUCGAUUAAUCAUCACUGGGUACUCGAUGGGAGGAUCCGUUGCUUCUCUCUUCACCUUAUGCCUGUUAGAAGUCAUCAAUUUAUCAAAACCCAAAUGCCGCCCCAUUUGUAUCACCUUUGGUUCACCCCUCAUAGGCGACUUUGGCCUCCAACACUCCAAUUGGAAUUCUUUCUUCUUGCAUGUAGUGUCCAACCAAGAUCUAGUCCCCGGACUCUUCCUCCCAUCCGACAGAUCUCCUCCCACAUCCUCCCAUUCACAAAC
rnacentral:lncRNA from 1 species